rnacentral:rRNA from 1 species
UACAGAGGUCUCGAGCGUUGUUCGGAUUCAUUGGGCGUAAAGGGUGUGUAGGAGGUCUUGUAAGUCGGGCGUGAAAUCUCACCGCUUAACGGUGAAACUGCGUUCGAUACUGCUUGGCUAGAGGAUCGGAGGGGGUAUCGGAAUUCAUGGUGUAGCAGUGAAAUGCGUAGAUAUCAUGAGGAACACCGGUGGCGAAAGCGGAUACCUGGAAGAUUCCUGACUCUGAAACACGAAAGCUAGGGGAGCAAACGGG